GGCACAACUUUUCUUAAUCUAGGAAGCAAAUUUUUUGUAAACUUGGAUCCUAAAAUGGUGUAAUCACUCAGUCUUCCCUGGGAGAGAAGUCAAGCCCAGAUGGUGUGAUCCAUUUCCCACGCACUCUGGCAAGGUCACUGGAAAGGCCUGCUGGCGGAUUUCUUGUUAUUGUAGUUAUUUAAUUCUUUACCGUUCUACUGAUUAAAGUCCUUAAAUCUCAAGUGGCCAGAUGGAAGCCAAAUCAUAUAGCCCUUUUGGUUCCUUUUAAUGAGAUCAGGAGUGGGAGAAGACUUGAAGAGGACGGAGAUGGAGAAGCCGUCUGCUGGGUGCCCUGGGACUCCUUGCCCAGAGGGCCUGGUGAGCCAGGAACCUUUCAUCCUCUUCUCUGCAGAGUGUUGUCAGUCCCUAUCUUCCAGAAGACUCUUGUAAUGGUUUCGGUAGGACUUUGUGCUUCACAGGCUUCAAUUAGAAUUUGACUCAGCUUGUGGGGUGGGGAGGCUAAGAGGCCUGUCAGGACAUUGGACCCAGAAAGCUUCGAAAUCCCCCUGCUUCACCGGGUGCUGCUUGGCACGUGAGUGUGGAGGGGCGCUGAGGAACUGCCACGUCCUGCCCUGGGUCCUGCUGCUCGGGGACUGACGAUGAGGUGCAGCUUCAGGCCCUGCUCCCUGCAGAAGAGCUUCGAUUGGCCCAACAGCAGUGGGGCGCUCCCAGUUCUGCUGGGCCUGAGGCCCGCACCCACCCAACCUAGCUCUCAAUUAAGCGGAUGCCGGACACGGGAUGGCCACUUGCUGCGCCCACAUCUGCUCUAGGUCCGCCUGGAGUUCCUCAUCCUCAGGUUCAUCUAGUGAAGAGGGUGGGGGGGCAGGUCCGGCCAGGCAGGCCACUUCAGCAGGUGUGGGUGCUGAGGGGGCAGCCGCAGGUAUGUGGGCUUCGCAGAGAAGGCCCCACCACAGCUCCAGGGACUCCCACAGCCUCUCAGAGUCUCUCUCCAAGUUGUCACCAUUUUCUUGAGCAAGCAGUUCAGUACCAGCUGUGUACAGAACCCCCACAUUAGACCCUGCGGAGCAAAAAGGAAACAAAAGAAACAGGAAACGUGUCUGCUCUCAAGGAUAUUCUAAGAUGGUCGGGAAACACAAAGCUAUGCACAAAAUCGCCUGAGAACAAAAGCAACCAAGUGCAUAUUUAUGGUGCAUUCAGAAGAUGAGGCUGAGGUGACGUCACAAGCUCAAGAACACUAGCUCUGGGGACGACUGUAACCCGUGGCCAUGUUUGCUAACAAGCCAAAGACAGGCCACACCAUCCAGAGUCCUCAGCAAGAAUGAAGGCGCCUGUGCACGCUGCCUCCUACAGGUGGGGCGCUCACAUGCGCUCACCCGGCUGGAUCAGCGGCUCUCGGACUUGAGUGUGCUGAAGAAUUACCUGAGGGUCUUGUGAAAAAAAUGCAGAUUAUGAGGCCCAGACCCUAGAGGUUCUGCUUCAGUGCCUUGGGGUGGGCCCCGUCUGCGUUUUAAGUCAGGUCCACGGAUGCUCAUGUUCUAAGAGCCGCUGUGAACCACGUGUGGAGAAUCACUCUUCUAGGAGCUCAAACCAAGGCCCUUGCCUGUUACAGCCUUGGAGAGGGACGCUGAUGUCUCAGACUCCUGUAUAGGGCAGCGCCCACCACCCCCAGUGCCUCCCCACACACACACCAUACACACAGUGCACACCCACACACACCACACACCAUACCACGCACACAAGCCACACAAACCCAUGCUGCACUCCACACCACACGCACAUACCACACAUUCCACGACACACACACACGUGCACCCUACAAAUAUACCAGGGUGCAUUCACCCCUGUCCUGGGCUGGAAUCCGUGACUUGAGGCAGCCCCCCGUGCAGAGAGGCAGCAAGCAGAUGAGGGCGGGCUCAGGACGGGGGCUCACUCUGCACGUUUUUGCCAUUAGAGACAACCGCGUCACUGCCUCCCUCUGGCUGUGGCUGCGCAGAGAGUGAAGCCUCCUGGCUGUUCUUCCUUCACCAGCUCUGCUGUGAAAAAGCCUCUUACCUUGGCGCUGAGAUUUAUGGAUCUCAUUUUGCAGACGGAGAGAAUGGAUACAGGGAAGGAAAGUGAUCAGCCAAAGCCACCCCGGUGCCACCCCACCCCUCUCAGGGCCCUCUGAUGCUUCACCAAGAACCACAGCUCAGCAGAGAGGUGCCGACUGAGGUUCCACGUCGGACAGGAAGAAAGAGAGGCAGUCGACUGAAGAGUCUUCUAGAAACAUGGGCCACAGAGUGUGCAUAUUCCCAAGGCUAGGGGGAUCCAGGAGCCUGCAGGAUGGGGAGCCUGGUGACUUGACAAGCUACUCACAGCUCUCGAGCCUACUGUAAGGGAUGAAAACCAGUUGGGUUUCUUUUGCUCACAAUCCCCCAUGUCACCCAAAAACUAGUGGUCACCAGCCUAGGAGUGAUGGAGAAGCAGGGACAGCCCGUGUUGGUGUGGCCGUGAUUGAGAGCACCUCCCGGGUGUGGGGCAUGACCUUGUGCUACUGCCUGGAUUUCUGUCCCCACCGGGGCCCAGGUUUUGUCUUCCCACUAGGGGCUGCCCCCAGGCCAGGGCAGGGCGAGGGACACAGGAAGAGAGGGCAUACCCUGGUUGCUUCUACUUCGCUCACAGCUCGAAGCUCUUUAGAAUCCCCGUACUCUUCAGUGUGGUGGGGGGCAGGCAAGGAGAGGCCUGGGAGGGGCAAAGGACUGAGGGCUAGGAGGCGUGGGCCCUGGGGAGGAGCCGGCCUGCGCAGAAGCGUUCUGAGGCGAGCAGGGCUCAGAGGCAGAGAUGCCAGCAGACUCUAGAUUCAAGCCAGGAGCAGGUGGCCAUCAGAUUCCAGGCUCCUGGCCCUACCUCGUGAGGCCCCCGCAGGAAACCUGGCACCUUUCCCAGCACCAGCUGUGCAGCCUGGCACCAAGUCAGCACCCAGGAGAGCUCGCUGCGCACACGGCUGCCCAGGGGACUGGAUGCGUGACUCACUCCAGGCUUGCUAAUCACUCUCCUCUCCUCCGCCUCGCAUCUUGCAGCGCCUUCCUUUCCCUGGAGAAAAGUGUGCCCAUCUGACACCUUGGCCCACCUGCUCCCCGUGACGCACUCAUCUGAACCUGCCGCUGCUCCUGCUCCACGCGCCCCCACAGUGCCCUCCCCAGCUGCCGCCUCCGGCUCCAACCUCCACCAGGACGAGUGCCUGUCCCCUACCCCAUCCAGCGCCAUCAGAGUGAGCCCUUGGCACCUGGCAGGCAGGCUGUGUGUCCAGCAGUCCUCCCAUAACCUCUCUGCCCACCUCCACACGGAGAGGCACAGGCCCCCAGCCUGGAGGUGUCUGUGGAGAGGGAGUGUCAGAGCGUAGUGGCCAAGCUCUCCCUUCUCAGGCCACCAUUCAGCCCUUCCAUGACCAGUGCUACCUGUCCUAAAGGGAGACAAGAACUGGGCAGCUACUGGUUUUGCCUCUGCUUUGACCAGAGGCCGGAAGAAGAGUCUAGCCCAAGCAGGCAAUGGGAGGUCCCAGGAGUGUCAACGAUGCCCUUGACCUGGCCUCACAGUGCCAGCCUGAUGGAGACAAAUGAUCACUUCCAUCCUGGCUGCAGUGCAGCCAGGCUCCAGGUGCCGCAGAGUCUGGAGACUGGACUUCUAGAGCAGGCUCUGACACCAGAACCAAGCAGGACCCUGGGUACUCGUAGGCCCUCUCUGGGUGUCUGUAGAAUGAGACAAUCAAGCCGUUUGAUCCCCAAGACCACUUGUGAGUUGUCUGAGCCAUGACAAGGGAAAAAAUCUCACCUAAAAGCUGGAACAGCCUGAAAAGACAACACUACUUGCAUGUGGUGUUUCACAAUAUGAACAGCUCCUUCCUUUUGUGAGUAAAUACAGAACAGCGGUCACAGGCCAGAGACCCAGGUAGUCAUACAGGAGCCUGCGCUUAGAAGGGCCCUGUGCUUGGUUUAAUGCUCCGCUGUGGCUGUCUUGAAAUUCCUAAUAACUUUGCAACAAGGGGCCCCGCUUUUUCAUUUUGCACUGGGUCCUGCAAAUUAUAUAGCCGGUGCUGACUAAAAAUACUUAGAAGGUUGGUCAAGGAGAAGCCGUGUGGAUGUGUCUGCAACAUUGUGCUCUAUAGGAUUUUGGUAUCUGGACUACAAAAAUGUUGAACAUUUCCUCAUUUUCAGCACCUCAGGAAGGAGAGAGAGUGAGCCAAUUAAUAAGGAAGUGCUGGGUGAGAGUUAAGUUGUUCAAGGGGACUGCUGCUGUUGUCUAAUACCCAUCCUCCCCUUCUUCCAUAGUGCUAGGAUUAUUAGCUAGCUUGACAUGGCCAUGGCCAAGAAAAACUACAUUUCCCAGAUUCCUUUGCAGCUAGCUGUGUCCAUGUGAUUAAGUGCUGGCUAAUGGAAUGUACCUGGAAGUGUCUGCCGCCAUCCAGGAGCCUUCCCUAAGAAACAGUUGGUGUGUGUCCC
ensembl:lncRNA